CACUUAAGUUACAAAGGAUUUCCUGAAAGCUUUUUCAAAUUUAUCUUCUAUUGAUCCCAUGAUCCAGAAGUUUUCAAAAUAUGGUGCAGUUGAAAUACUAGCAAUGAGGGUCUGCAUAAAGCAUUGGAAAAUUCCAGAGCAAGAUGAAUUCUGAACAGAAAGUACUUAACUUGAGAUGUCCAUACAUUCAUUCACUCAUUCAUUUAUUCAAAAGUAUUAUUUACUGUAUUCCAGACUCUUUAAUAGGUACUGGAUAAGUCUUUGCCGUACCAUUACUCAGGUUAAGUAAAUCAAGUAUUACCAAUAACUAUCCUCAGGAAAGUGGUUAGAAGUGGACUCCGUGCGAGCACUGGAUACAAAUACUCCUUAAAGGCGUCACCUUGCCAUUGGGCAUGAUUGCUGUGGUCUAGUGCAUGAUCAAUAGUCUUGAGGAAUGCAUGGUGGCACCGACAUGGCCGUUGUAAAGUGGUUUACUGACAAGUAUCCUAGAAAACACCUUUGCUGAUUACUGGUGACCUACAGUUCCUAUACAUACACACAGUUCAGAAAGCAUCUUGAGACAAUUUUCUCUGGGUAUUCUGAAAUGAUAGAAUUCUUAGGCUUUACGCUCAUGAAAAUAACAAAUAUAAUACACCUUGCUAUCAUAAUUCCUGGGCUUCCUGCUGAAGGAUUUUGAGUGGCAGAGUCGUUCAGACUGGCUGUUCUGCUUAUGGAAACUUCAUUUGGUGAACGUGAAUCUUUACAUAGAGUGCGAGUGUGACACACCCACCCCAACCCGACAAGAGGUUAAUAGAUCUGAAAUCAACUGCAAAUAUGCUGGAGUGUUCUUUUCCUCUUUCUAACGUUUACUAAAAAUAUGUUAUAUGCCAGGAAUAUGUUGGGUGCUUUUUGCAUGGAAUAUAUGAUAACUCCAAGAGAAAUUAUCUCCUUUUUAAACAUGAGAAAAUUGAGAUCAGAGAGUUUAAGCAAUACAUUCAACUUCACCACCUCAAACCCAAGUCUUGUAUCUCCAGGGGUCCCACUCUUCCCACCCUUCCAGGAGCUGUCUGGUAGAGUGUGGUGCAGACAGCACUGAUGUCUCUCCCUUAGUGUUUGCGGCAGUGGUGUAGCUCCACUUUCACACAGUAAAAUUGUUUCACUCAACAGGGCUUCACUGUGAGCUCCAUGUAAAGGUGAUCUAGAAACCUCAUCUAAGGCUGUCUCCAAGUUUCCAGAUUGUGGAAGGUACUUGGCAGCAACUUUGCACAUCCCUGAGCAACCACUGCCAUCCUGCUUCUGAUGCUUCACUGGGGAUUGCUCUUAGGCCUGGUCGCUGUGUUCCCACACAUGUGCUGUCUUGCACGGGGACAAGACGGUUUGCUCAUCGCAUAUUCAACAUAACCACACAAGCCAAGCAACACACACCAUGAAGUCUGGGACUCUUACCUGUCUUCUCAGCAAUGAGCACGUGGACCUUUUGAUCAGCCUCUACGUUGGGAAGGGGAUGGUGAGGGGCACAGAAUAAGAAAUCCGAAGAAGCGUGCAGGCUUUGAGACUAUACGGGCUGCCACAGACCCGUGUCCCGCCCAUGCUGCUUUCGCUCGGUGCCGAGGUCUCACACAGACAGGGGGACAAAGCUGUGUCAGUGGCAUCGCUGCACAGCUCGCAGGAGAAACUGCGGUGCAGCUCAGCAGAGGCGGCGUGGUGAAGACAGCUGGGUCCCCUCCCUGCCUCUGGGACAGACUGUCGGACGCCCCCAAGAUCCUGUUCACAGGGUCUCAUAGGUG
ensembl:lncRNA